UUGCUUUGGCAGCACAUAAACUAAAAUUGAAAUGAUACAAAGAAGAUUAUCAUGGCCCCUGCACAAGAUGACAUGCACAUUUGUGAAGUGUUCCAUGUUUUU